rnacentral:rRNA from 1 species
UACAGGGGGGGCAAGCGUUGUUCGGAAUUACUGGGCGUAAAGGGUCUGUAGGGUGCCAACUAAGUCAGACGUGAAAUCCCUCAGCUUAACUGGGGAACUGCGUCUGAUACUGGAUGGCUUGAGUGUGGGAGAGGAAUGCGGAAUUCCAGGUGUAGCGGUGAAAUGCGUAGAUAUCUGGAGGAACACCGGUGGCGAAGGCGGCAUUCUGGACCAUAACUGACACUGAGAGACGAAAGCCAGGGGAGCAAACGGG